AUCAUUAUCGUAGAAUGGGAGGUGCUGAGGUUGUCGCUGACUUUUGAAAGGGUCGUGCACGCCUCGGUGCUCUCACACAUAAUCCAUCUCACCCCUUUGUGCAUCACCGCGUGAGGGCUCCCUUUUGGCUAGUUCUGAGGGGGGUUUUCAUGUUUUUACACAGACACCCUUUUAAUGCAAUGUGUAGAAUGUCUUACUUCUUUUGCGAUCACACGCAAUUAAUACAACUUUCAACAACGGAUCUCUUGGCUCUCGCAUCGAUGAAGAACGCAGCGAAAUGCGAUACGUAAUGUGAAUUGCAGAAUUCAGUGAAUCAUCGAAUCUUUGAACGCACCUUGCGCCCCUUGGUAUUCCGAGGGGCACACCCGUUUGAGUGUCGUGACAUCCUCAAACCUUUCUUGGUUUCUUGACCAGAAAGGCUUUGGACUUUGGAGGCUUUCGCUGGCUUUCCCCUUUUUAAAGCCAGCUCCUCUUAAAUGGAUUAGUGGGGUCUGCUUUUGCUGAUCCUUGACGUGAUAANAUAUUUCUACGUCUUGGGUUUUGCACUGUUUGCUCUAGAUCCUGCUUCUAACUGUCUUAUAGAAGACAAAUGGUCGAGUGAUUGCCACUUGACCUACCGAUCUUGACCUCAAAUCGGGUGAGACUACCCGCUGAACUUAAGCAUAUCANUAAGCGGAGGAAAAGAAACUAACAAGGAUUCCCCUAGUAACUGCGAGUGAAGCGGGAAAAGCUCAAAUUUAAAAUCUGGUGGUCUUUGGCCAUCCGAGUUGUAAUUUAGAGAAGUGUCUUCCGCGCUGGACCGUGCACAAGUCUCCUGGAAUGGAGCGUCAU
rnacentral:rRNA from 1 species